rnacentral:rRNA from 1 species
UACGUAGGGUGCAAGCGUUAUUCGGAUUUACUGGGCGUAAAGCGUGCGCAGGCGGUGUGGUGCGUCAGGUGUGAAAUCCCCGGGCUUAACCUGGGAACUGCAUUUGUGACUGCAUCGCUGGAGUGCGGCAGAGGGGGAUGGAAUUCCGCGUGUAGCAGUGAAAUGCGUAGAUAUGCGGAGGAACACCGAUGGCGAAGGCAAUCCCCUGGGCCGGCACUGACGCUCAUGCACGAAAGCGUGGGGAGCAAACAGG